rnacentral:lncRNA from 1 species
AGACGGACGCCGAGGGCGUGGGAGCGGAUGAAAGUUGGCGCCGCGGGCUGGACAGGAGGGGGCGCUGUUGUAGAGGGAGUCGCCAUCGCGGAGCAUGGAUGGAUUACCGAGGCUUAGAGAAGGCUUAGUCUGCGCGCAACACCCAGCGGCCACAGGAGGGACGGGUCGUGCGGGCAAUGCGGACGAUGGGGGUGACCCGAGAACUGAACACCGGUGGGGCUGCUUAGGCGGGAACAACAGAGGCGAAGAGCCCGAACGGCCUACAAGGAAGGGGGCAGAGCGAUCUGUGAACCUCGCUCCAUUUCCUGCUACUUGAGGGGCCCAGCAUCGAGUCCCUGUACUUGUUUCCUCACCUAAGUAGAGGGGAGAGUCCAACUCCGUCUGGAAGGUUGCUGUUCUGGUUGAGUGUGGGUCACGUGUGUGCCGUCAUGCCUGGUGACAAUAGACUCACUCUCCCUCCCUCCUCCUCCCGCCCCGUGCCAUUAUAAGGGAUUUGCGGAGAGCUGGGGUGUUACGUGGGACUGAGGUUGCGGGGACAGUGUGAUGGUGGCAAUAAAGGCGGGGAUAUGGCAUAACCUAGGGUAGCGAUAGGGCUUGGGGAGCCAUAGAUAAGGAUGGGGCAAAACCCUGCGUAGUAAAGGCCGACGUAGAGUGUGACCUCAGUGGAGGUGGGCGGGGAGAAGGAGGAUGGCGAGUGGCAAGUGUGGAGGCAACGCCUUUGGGGCCAGGAGCUGCCUGGUUUUAGGUUUCCCGGGGGAGGAGCUGGUCUGCAGCGGGCGGAGCUACGAGCUGGGCCCGGCUUAGUCUUUGCGCUUCUGCUGGUGGCUCUCUUUCUUUAGUCGCCCACACUGUGGCUGCCAUCCCCAGCCAUGGGCUGCCGGGCUCUCCUGCUCCUGUCUUUCCUAUUACUCGGGGCCGCCACAACCAUCCCGCCUAGGCUAAAGACCCUCGGCAGCCCGCAUUUGUCAGCCAGUCCCACACCCGACCCUGCUGUAGCCCGUAAAUACUCAGUUCUUUACUUCGAACAGAAGGUAAGCAGAGGCUGGGGAGUAAGGGUUCUAGGUCCCACGUCCCAACCGCCCGCCCAUACCUUGCUUGGCUGUUGGAGCACCGCCGCCCACUCCAAAAUUCAGACUCUGAUACUUAGGACUUGACUUGGUUUUAGUUCACAUUUUCUGGAGGGUGGUCUUAAGCCUUAAUUAUUCGAGUGUUUCCCAACAGAGACCAUGAGAAAUUUAUCCCUCCAGUUCUGGAGGUCCAGGAUACAUAUUUUUAACUCUUCAUUUUAGGAAAUGCCUCAAUCUAAACUCUUUGUUUACCUUGGCCAAAACCAGAUUAUGGAGACUAACCUUUGACCCCAUACCUCUCACCUCAAAUUCUUAGGUAUGGAGGCUAACCUUCACCUUUAGGUCUCUCAACACAAAUUCAGAUGUACCCAUUACAUAAGAAUGUAUCGCUUCACUAAACUGCUUCUCUCAGCUGAAAUGUUACCUUUAGAGGCUAAAAGGUCUGUAUCCCCAUCUGAAGUGAGUGCAAGGAUCAGGUCUCUCUGGUCUUGAACUUGAGUUCACAGUUUUAAGACAGGCUUCUCCAAUGCCUUUGUAUUUGGUGGCAGCAUGAGACCAUAGGUCAUUACCCUAUAGGUCUGAAUGAAAAGUACCUGUGUCCUCUGAAAUGACAAGGCUAUAUAAUUCUAUAGUUCUAGGAGUCUCUGAGGCCUGAAUGCACAAGGCACUGGGAUUAGAAAGAGUACAGUCGUCUGAUCUUGGCUUUAGAAGUCACAUCAGGAUUCUGGCCUCACUCUGUGAUCUUGGACAAGUUACAGUUAGUUUCUGAGCCAAGUUUCUUGGCUUACUGCAGAAGGUUGCAGUGAUGACUAACUGAAGCAGCUAAGAACCAUAAGCCCUAGCAGAGUAGCUGCCCUGAAUAGAAGGUUACCGAUGGAGGCAUGCUUAUUGAUGGGACGUUUGACUAGGUAGGAAUUUGGGAAAGAGGGAAGACAUGGGGUUGUAGAACAAUUUAGUUUUGAAGU